AUUGAACGCUGGCGGCAGGCUUAACACAUGCAAGUCGAGCGGGGGAAGGUAGCUUGCUACUGGACCUAGCGGCGGACGGGUGAGUAAUGCUUAGGAAUCUGCCUAUUAGUGGGGGACAACAUCUCGAAAGGGAUGCUAAUACCGCAUACGUCCUACGGGAGAAAGCAGGGGAUCUUCGGGCCUUGCGCUAAUAGAUGAGCCUAAGUCGGAUUAGCUAGUUGGUGGGGUAAAGGCCUACCAAGGCGACGAUCUGUAGCGGGUCUGAGAGGAUGAGCCGCAACACUGGGACGGAGACACGGCCCAGACUCCUACGGGAGGCAGCAGUGGGGAAUAUUGGACAAUGGGGGGAACCCUGAUCCAGCCAUGCCGCGUGUGUGAAGAAGGCCUUAUGGUUGUAAAGCACUUUAAGCGAGGAGGAGGCUACUCUAGUUAAUACCUAGGGAUAGUGGACGUUACUCGCAGAAUAAGCACCGGCUAACUCUGUGCCAGCCGCCGCCGUAA
rnacentral:rRNA from 1 species